GAUGAACGCUGGCGGCGUGCCUAAUACAUGCAAGUCGAGCGAACGGACGAGAAGCUUGCUUCUCUGAUGUUAGCGGCGGACGGGUGAGUAACACGUGGAUAACCUACCUAUAAGACUGGGAUAACUUCGGGAAACCGGAGCUAAUACCGGAUAAUAUUUUGAACCGCAUGGUUCAAAAGUGAAAGACGGUCUUGCUGUCACUUAUAGAUGGAUCCGCGCUGCAUUAGCUAGUUGGUAAGGUAACGGCUUACCAAGGCAACGAUGCAUAGCCGACCUGAGAGGGUGAUGGGCCACCCUGGAACUGAGACCCGGUCCAGACUCCGACGGGAGGCAGCAGUAGGGAAUCUUCCGCAAGGGGCGAAAGCCUGACGGAGCAACGCCGCGUGAGUGAUGAAGGUCUUCGGAUCGUAAAACUCUGUUAUUAGGGAAGAACAUAUGUGUAAGUAACUGUGCACAUCGUGACGGUACCUAAUCAGAAAGCCACGGCUAACUACG
rnacentral:rRNA from 1 species